GCCAGGUGGACGCCUCUAUCUACAGCCUCGUGGCGGAUGGGACCUGUUAGGUUCGCGGCCAUCGUGGGCAACAAGGACUCACCCUCCAUCUGGGCCGCCGUCCCAGGGAAAAACCUUCGUGAACAUCACGCCAGCUAAGGUUGGUGUCCUGGUUGGCAAAGACUGGUCAAGCUUUUUCGUGAAUAGGCUGACACUGCGGGGCCAGAAAUGUACUGUGGUCCUGGACUCACUGCUGCAGGAUGGGGAACUGACCGUGCAUCUUCAAACGAAGAGCAUCGGUGGAGCCCCCACCUUCAAUGUCACUGUCACCAUGAUUGCCAAGACACU
rnacentral:lncRNA from 1 species